UGCACAUGGGUUAGUCGAUC
rnacentral:sRNA from 1 species